GGCCCCGUAGCUCAGCUGGAUAGAGCAGUUGCGUCCUAAGCAAACGGUCGGGAGUUCAAAUCUCUCCGGGGUCGCCA
rnacentral:tRNA from 1 species